GGUUGUAGCUCAGUGGUGGAGAACUUGCCUUCUAUGUGUGAGGCCCUGGGUUCAAUCCUCAGCACCA
rnacentral:tRNA from 1 species